rnacentral:rRNA from 1 species
UAUCAUUAACUGAAUCCAUAGGUUAAUGAGGCGAACCGGGGGAACUGAAACAUCUAAGUACCCCGAGGAAAAGAAAUCAACCGAGAUUCCCCCAGUAGCGGCGAGCGAACGGGGAGGAGCCCAGAGCCUGAAUCAGCAUGUGUGUUAGUGGAAGCGUCUGGAAAGGCGCGCGAUACAGGGUGACAGCCCCGUACACAAAAGCGCAUGUGCUGUGAGCUCGAUGAGUAGGGCGGGACACGUGGUAUCCUGUCUGAAUAUGGGGGGACCAUCCUCCAAGGCUAAAUACUCCUGACUGACCGAUAGUGAACCAGUACCGUGAGGGAAAGGCGAAAAGAACCCCGGCGAGGGGAGUGAAAAAGAACCUGAAACCGUGUACGUACAAGCAGUGGGAGCCCCACCACUAAGCCAGUGGUGAACUCCACAUCCGCAUCCUUUGCUGAGGAUACGGUUAACGGAGCGAAAGCGACGUUCAACCGCAAAACAAGCAGAGGGGGCUUAGUGGUGGGGUGACUGCGUACCUUUUGUAUAAUGGGUCAGCGACUUAUAUUCUGUAGCAAGGUUAACCGAAUAGGGGAGCCGGAGGGAAACCGAGUCUUAAUUGGGCGUUAAGUUGCAGGGUAUAGACCCGAAACCCGGUGAUCUAGCCAUGGGCAGGUUGAAGGUUGGGUAACACUAACUGGAGGACCGAACCGACUAAUGUUGAAAAAUUAGCGGAUGACCUGUGGCUGGGGGUGAAAGGCCAAUCAAACCGGGAGAUAGCUGGUUCUCCCCGAAAGCUAUUUAGGUAGCGCCUCGUGAAUUCAUCUCCGGGGGUAGAGCACUGUUUCGGCUAGGGGGCCAUCCCGGCUUACCAACCCGAUGCAAACUGCGAAUACCGGAGAAUGUUAUCACGGGAGACACACGGCGGGUGCUAACGUCCGUCGUGAAGAGGGAAACAACCCAGACCGCCAGCUAAGGUCCCAAAGUCAUGGUUAAGUGGGAAACGAUGUGGGAAGGCCCAGACAGCCAGGAUGUUGGCUUAGAAGCAGCCAUCAUUUAAAGAAAGCGUAAUAGCUCACUGGUCGAGUCGGCCUGCGCGGAAGAUGUAACGGGGCUAAACCAUGCACCGAAGCUGCGGCAGCGAACGUAUCACCCAAGACAACUUUACGGAGUUGACGAUUGACGGAGCGAAGCGACGUCAAAGCGUUCAUUAAAGUCGAGUUGGCUUAGGGAUACGUUCGUUGGGUAGGGGAGCGUUCUGUAAGCCUGUGAAGGUGUGUCGUGAGGCAUGCUGGAGGUAUCAGAAGUGCGAAUGCUGACAUAAGUAACGAUAAAGCGGGUGAAAAGCCCGCUCGCCGGAAGACCAAGGGUUCCUGUCCAACGUUAAUCGGGGCAGGGUGAGUCGACCCCUAAGGCGAGGCCGAAAGGCGUAGUCGAUGGGAAACGGGUUAAUAUUCCCGUACUUGGUGUUACUGCGAAGGGGGGACGGAGAAGGCUAUGUUGGCCGGGCGACGGUUGUCCCGGUUUAAGCGUGUAGGUGUGUGUUCCAGGUAAAUCCGGUUCACUUUAACACUGAGGCGUGACGACGAGGCACUACGGUGCUGAAGCAACAAAUGCCCUGCUUCCAGGAAAAGCCUCUAAGCAUCAGGUAACACGAAAUCGUACCCCAAACCGACACAGGUGGUCAGGUAGAGAAUACCAAGGCGCUUGAGAGAACUCGGGUGAAGGAACUAGGCAAAAUGGUGCCGUAACUUCGGGAGAAGGCACGCUGACACGUAGGUGAAGUGAUUUACUCAUGGAGCUGAAGUCAGUCGAAGAUACCAGCUGGCUGCAACUGUUUAUUAAAAACACAGCACUGUGCAAACACGAAAGUGGACGUAUACGGUGUGACGCCUGCCCGGUGCCGGAA